rnacentral:lncRNA from 14 species
AAACCUCAAGGGAAGUCUAAUGACUUCAAAACUGUAUGAUGAGUGGAUUGCUGUACCUGAAAAGGUCAAUGAUGAAGAGAAAUUAGCUGCAGUGCAGAGGAUAUGUUAUCCAUAAUUGCAGAGAAAGGACAAG